GACGAACGCUGGCGGCGUGCUUAACACAUGCAAGUCGAACGGGCCCGCCCCUGUUUUUGGGGGUGGGUUGAGUGGCGAACGGGUGAGUAUCACGUGAGUAACCUGCCCCCUGCUCCUGGAUAACUGCUUGAAAGGGCGGCUAAUACGGGGUGUGCCGGCUGGUCCGCAUGGGCCUGGUCGGGAUAGUUUCAUCUUCGGGUGUUUCGGUGGGGGAUGGGCUCGCGGCCUAUCAGCUUGUUGGUGGGGUGAUGGCCCACCAAGGCGGUGACGGGUAGCCGGCCUGAGAGGGUGGGCGGCCACACUGGGACUGGGACACGGCCCAGACGCCUGCGGGAGGCAGCAGUGGGGGGUAUUGCACAAUGGGCGGAAGCCUGAUGCAGCGACGUCGCGUGAGGGAUGGAGGCCUUCGGGUUGUGAACCUCUUUCUCCGGUGGUGAAGGCCCUGUCCGUUGCGGCGGGGUUGACGGUAGCCGGGUAUGAAGCGCCGGCUAACUACGCG
rnacentral:rRNA from 1 species